CCUACGGGAGGCUGCAGUGGGGAAUAUUGGACAAUGGGGGGAACCCUGAUCCAGCCAUGCCGCGUGUGUGAAGAAGGCCCUCGGGUUGUAAAGCACUUUCAGUGAGGAAGAACGCCUGGUGGUUAAUACCCAUCAGGAAAGACAUCACUCACAGAAGAAGCACCGGCUAACUCCGUGCCAGCAGCCGCGGUAAUACGGAGGGUGCGAGCGUUAAUCGGAAUUACUGGGCGUAAAGCGCGCGUAGGUGGCUUGAUAAGCCGGUUGUGAAAGCCCCGGGCUCAACCUGGGAACGGCAUCCGGAACUGUCAAGCUAGAGUGCAGGAGAGGAAGGUAGAAUUCCCGGUGUAGCGGUGAAAUGCGUAGAGAUCGGGAGGAACACCAGUGGCGAAGGCGGCCUUCUGGACUGACACUGACACUGAGGUGCGAAAGCGUGGGUAGCAAACAGGAUUAGAUACCCCAGUAGUC
rnacentral:rRNA from 1 species